CUAGUCUUAUCGGGGGAUC
rnacentral:rRNA from 1 species